rnacentral:tRNA from 1 species
AGCACCAUAGUUGAGCAACAACAUUAAACUGCAGAUUUAAAGGAGUAUUUUGAUACUAGUGCUU